UCUCAUUAAAACAAAAGGAACAGCCCAGGCAACAAAGCUCCUGAAAAUCGUAAAAUUCCACGACUUUCCUGUGAAAGCAUCAGAGCACAAAACCCUUAACUCCUCCAAAGGUGUCAUCUACUCCAACGAUCUACGCAACAUAGAAAUAGAAAUCAUCAAAAGCGAACUCAAAACACAAAAGGUCAUUGACGCAACUAAAAUUCACAAACAGAAAGAUGGCUUACCCCAAGAAACCGGACUGAUCAUCCUCACAUUCGAUACACCAACACUCCCACAGCAUAUUAUGAUAGGAUACGAACGAGUAAACGUUCGCCCCCGAACGCCUCGCCCCCUCAAAUGCAAUAACUGCCAGAAAUUCGGUCACCCAACCAAAUACUGCACAACCACCAAAAUCUGCAAAAACUGCUCCGAAGUACACCCCGCCGACGACGAUCUAUGCUCCAAGCCCAAAUUCUGCAGCAACUGCAAACACAACACCAACAUCCAAAACAACCACAGCCCACUAGACCCCAAAUGUCCGGAAUUUCUCAAGCAAAAAGAGAUCGCAAUUAUCAAAUCUUCCGAGAAAGUAGACUUCUUAACCGCAAAAAAAAUAUAUUUUCAACGCAACACACACCAAUCCACACCAUACGCCGAGAUAGUUGCAAAAACACAAACAGUAUCAUCGACCCCCAACCACCCUUCAUCAUCAUACAACACUCAGACCACACACUACCAAAGGCCUAUUACUAACUACGCAGACAUCUCAGACUCAAACACACACCCAUCCAAACCAACACAGCAACCCACCCAAGAAGAAAUGGACAUGGACACAGACCUCGAGGCAACAACUAAAACCAAAAACACCAAAACCAUCCCAGAUACCGACCGCAAACUCCGAAGCUGGACUAAAGAAAAGGACAAACUCAACCUAGUCACCAAGCCACUCAAGGCAAAAAAUAAAUCCGAAAAAACAAAAACUACAAACCUAGCGUCACUAUCCAACAACACCCUUCCUAGCCAAAAAACCCCAGGAGGAGACCCGCAACAACAACGAACAACUUGGAAUUUACUAGACAUUUUUUAUUAGCAUUUGAGCUUCGCGCCUACAGAAAUGAGGUUGAUAACACUACAUGUGUUGCGGAAAGCGUAAACUCAUACAUGUUGCGAAAGGCAUGCUGCAAAGAUGUUGCUGAACAAUGCUAUAUUCUAUUAAACAAAUUAAAAUUAUAAUUAAUUUAAAAAUGUCUUAUUGAACAUGUAUCCAUGAGUAUAUGCACUCGCGAAAAGAACUGACAUUGCACUGGAAUCGUUUGAGCAGGAUAAAUAAAUACCUUCUAUAUCGGCUGUCUGCCACUCCCAGGUUUUCGGUGUUUUAUACCAGCUUCAAGAGCAUUUGGGCCAAGGUUAGCCACUGGUGGGCACCUCUGAGUGGGCCCAACAAGACGUUAAACGUGUCUAUGUGAGGGACUUGAUAGCAGGACAAGAUUUCAUCCAAGCCCGACAAAUCUGACAGCAAGUCGCUCUCUUAAAGACAGGGAGUCUCUCACAGCCAGUUCGGCUUUUUGGGCAUGGCUCUCCACAAUCUACGCGAGGCUGCAACAACGGCGCAACUGCUUCCACUUGUGUAGACUGGCAAGCGGCCAAAUGCAGCGCAACGACACAAAAACAGCAAUGCAUAAAAUGGGAAAAUGGAGCCAGGUUUUUCAUGCUGGCCAUACCGGCUGCAGUCGCUUUGCUGUUGUUGCCAUGAGGUGAGCCGUAACAGAGAUAUUGCUGCUGGCCCGAUCUGGCCCGAUCCGGUCUCCGCUGGCCAAACGGUUUGUUUGCUUUCCCGUGUUUACCUUAUGCAAUGCUCAAGAGUUUUCAAUAUUUUGUUGCCAGACAAACAAAAACUUGAAGACUCUGCAACUGCAAAUUGACAAAGUUGUAAAAUCUACUAUUUCACUCUUCAUAUGCACAUAUGUAUGUAUGUAUGUAUGUA